rnacentral:rRNA from 1 species
AUUGAACGCUGGCGGCAGGCUUAACACAUGCAAGUCGAACGAGUGGCGGACGGGUGAGUAAUGCUUGGGAAUCUAGCUUAUGGAGGGGGAUAAGUGCGGGAAACUGUGGCUAAUACCGCUUACGAUACGAUGGGCCCAAGUGGGAUUAGGUAGUUGGUGGGGUAAAGGCUCACCAAGCCGACGAUCUCUAGCUGGUCUGAGAGGAUGACCGGCCACACUGGGACUGAGACACGGCCCAGACUCCUACGGGCGGCAGCAGUGGGGAAUAUUGCGCAAUGGGGGCAACCUGACGCAGCCAUGCCGCGUGAAUGAAGAAGGCCUUCGGGUUGUAAAGUUCUUUCGGUAGCGAGGCGUUAACUACAGAAGAAGCACCGGCUAACUACGUGCCAGCCGCCGCGGUAAUUC